rnacentral:rRNA from 1 species
GUGAAAGCCCCCGGCUCAACGCGGCGAGCCCAAGCGAUACGGCGCGAUGAAGGUCGUAAGAGGAGACGGAAUUCCACGGGGAACGGUAAAAGGCGCAGAUAUACGCAGAACACCGAGUGCCGAAGCCGCUUCCAGGGCCCGCACUGGACGUGCAGAGCCGAAGCAUAGGGGACCGAACAGAAUUAGAGACCUGGGAAGUCAUAGCCCUAAACGCGGGAUCUUAGCUCUAGCAAUAAUGAGGCUCUGACCCGGAGCGAACGAGAUAAGCAUCACACCUGGAAAAUACGCCCGCAGAGGCUAAAACUCAGACGAACAGACGGGCACCCGCACAAGCAGCGGAGCGUGUGGUAAAACGAGAAGAUACAAGAAGCACCUCACGUGGGUUUGACAAGCUGGUGUUACCGAACCGAAAAGGGAGGGACCGAUCGGGGAGCCAACACAGGGGCUGCAUGGCGGUAGUUAGCUCGUGCAGUGAGCUGUCGGAUUAACUCCCGUAACGCGCGCAACCUUGUAUCUUAGUUAUACGUCUAUAAGGGGACUGCCGCCGACAAGCCGGAGGAAGGUGAGAAUGACGUCAAGUCAGCAUGGCAUCGAUAUGCACGGCUACACACACGCUACAAUGGCCGGUACAAAGGCAGCCAAG